rnacentral:rRNA from 1 species
AACAGCCCAGACCACCAGCUAAGGUCCCAAAAUAUAUGUUAAGUGGAAAAGGAUGUGGCGUUGCCCAGACAACUAGGAUGUUGGCUUAGAAGCAGCCAUCAUUUAAAGAGUGCGUAAUAGCUCACUAGUCGAGUGACACUGCGCCGAAAAUGUACCGGGGCUAAACAUAUUACCGAAGCUGUGGAUUGUCCUUUGGACAAUGGUAGGAGAGCGUUCUAAGGGCGUUGAAGCAUGAUCGUAAGGACAUGUGGAGCGCUUAGAAGUGAGAAUGCCGGUGUGAGUAGCGAAAGACGGGUGAGAAUCCCGUCCACCGAUUGACUAAGGUUUCCAGAGGAAGGCUCGUCCGCUCUGGGUUAGUCGGGUCCUAAGCUGAGGCCGACAGGCGUAGGCGAUGGAUAACAGGUUGAUAUUCCUGUACCACCUAUAAUCGUUUUAAUCGAUGGGGGGACGCAGUAGGAUAGGCGAAGCGUGCGAUUGGAUUGCACGUCUAAGCAGUAAGGCUGAGUAUUAGGCAAAUCCGGUACUCGUUAAGGCUGAGCUGUGAUGGGGAGAAGACAUUGUGUCUUCGAGUCGUUGAUUUCACACUGCCGAGAAAAGCCUCUAGAUAGAAAAUAGGUGCCCGUACCGCAAACCGACACAGGUAGUCAAGAUGAGAAUUCUAAGGUGAGCGAGCGAACUCUCGUUAAGGAACUCGGCAAAAUGACCCCGUAACUUCGGGAGAAGGGGUGCUCUUUAGGGUUAACGCCCAGAAGAGCCGCAGUGAAUAGGCCCAAGCGACUGUUUAUCAAAAACACAGGUCUCUGCUAAACCGUAAGGUGAUGUAUAGGGGCUGACGCCUGCCCGGUGCUGGAAGGUUAAGAGGAGUGGUUAGCUUCUGCGAAGCUACGAAUCGAAGCCCCAGUAAACGGCGGCCGUAACUAUAACGGUCCUAAGGUAGCGAAAUUCCUUGUCGGGUAAGUUCCGACCCGCACGAAAGGCGUAACGAUUUGGGCACUGUCUCAACGAGAGACUCGGUGAAAUCAUAGUACCUGUGAAGAUGCAGGUUACCCGCGACAGGACGGAAAGACCCCGUGGAGCUUUACUGUAGCCUGAUAUUGAAAUUCGGCACAGCUUGUACAGGAUAGGUAGGAGCCUUUGAAACGUGAGCGCUAGCUUACGUGGAGGCGCUGGUGGGAUACUACCCUAGCUGUGUUGGCUUUCUAACCCGCACCACUUAUCGUGGUGGGAGACAGUGUCAGGCGGGCAGUUUGACUGGGGCGGUCGCCUCCUAAAAGGUAACGGAGGCGCUCAAAGGUUCCCUCAGAAUGGUUGGAAAUCAUUCAUAGAGUGUAAAGGCAUAAGGGAGCUUGACUGCGAGACCUACAAGUCGAGCAGGGUCGAAAGACGGACUUAGUGAUCCGGUGGUUCCGCAUGGAAGGGCCAUCGCUCAACGGAUAAAAGCUACCCCGGGGAUAACAGGCUUAUCUCCCCCAAGAGUUCACAUCGACGGGGAGGUUUGGCACCUCGAUGUCGGCUCAUCGCAUCCUGGGGCUGUAGUCGGUCCCAAGGGUUGGGCUGUUCGCCCAUUAAAGCGGUACGCGAGCUGGGUUCAGAACGUCGUGAGACAGUUCGGUCCCUAUCCGUCGUGGGCGUAGGAAAUUUGAGAGGAGCUGUCCUUAGUACGAGAGGACCGGGAUGGACAUACCUCUGGUGUACCAGUUGUCGUGCCAACGGCAUAGCUGGGUAGCUAUGUGUGGACGGGAUAAGUGCUGAAAGCAUCUAAGCAUGAAGCCCCCCUCAAGAUGAGAUUUCCCAACUUCGGUUAUAAGAUCCCUCAAAGAUGAUGAGGUUAAUAGGUUCGAGGUGGAAGCAUGGUGACAUGUGGAGCUGACGAAUACUAAUCGAUCGAAGACUUAAUCAA